CAGCUAGGACGAGUCAGAACGAUAUCAACCCCAGUGCACAUAUAUAUCUGUCAAUUCGAGUAGAGAGAACACAGUGGAACGAGUUGAAAUGUAGUUCAUUUUAAAAGAAAGCGAAUUGAACAAUCGUUAACAAUUCACUGGAACCACUGAUUUUUUUUUUUUUUUUGUGAUUUGGAUUAUUCUGUUCCUUCUGCAGUAUUCGGUGGGCUGCAGACGCCCCUAAAGAGCUUUUCAAUAAUGUAUAAAGUUAAAAGGUGGAACGAUUUGAACCGCGGAUAACAUGAAGAACAGUAACAAGGAAUCAUCAAUGGGUAUCCCGGAAUGAGAUGCACCGUUUAGGCCGGUGUUGAGUUCGUCAUCGAUCGUUCGCUUGGUGCAAAAAAAAUAUUUGAAAGAAAGCUGUGCGGAGGUGUUGAGUGUGGCCGAGCGAAGCUUUUCCGAGGGCAGCAGCCAUCAGGAUAACGGGAUGUCGUCGAGGAAUAUUCGAGGUCGCCAAGCUGGCUCCACCGUUCAAGUUUUCCUUUUGAUCUGCUCGAUCUUCGGCGGCUCGGGAAUUGGACGAGUCCUGAGCUCGGAAGUCACGACUGACACGCCAGCGAAUAAAGGAGCAGCUCGACAGAUGUAUGGUAGUGGGAGUUUGCGGCAGACCGGAAGCGGGCCCAUCGUCCUGGGGACGACAGAUUCACCGUUUUA